ensembl:lncRNA
AGCUUCCUGAACAGCUAGUCAAGCCACACAGCACGGCAAGAAGAAUAACGCUCAACAUAUGUGCGAUUACUGCCCCCUUGCGGCUCGAUUGUGUAUUGCACACAGACAUAAACUGCUCCUUGCAUGGCGUCACCCUGAAUGCUCCACUCAUUCAAGAAGUUACCUCAGCCCACUUAUCUUACGUUCAGCUCAUUUAAUUCACUUUCCCCCCUUUCCCCCCCUCGAUUGAUUUUUAUUGUUGGCCACUCAGACUUGGCGAUUGGUCUCUAUGACAACAAAUGGAGUGCGCAGAGAAAACUGGGCAGAAUAGUUUGAUGAUCUGUUCCCAGUGUUAACAGGCAGGAUAGUACGUCGGACGUGGUCGUGUCUGCUGCUACAUUUUCAUUUUCUCUGGAAAGGUGAACGAAAUGGAAAGGAGUUGUUUCUUUGUAGCACUAUGCUGAGAUCCAGAGGCGCUUCCCCACCAUGCUGGAAAUGGGCUCCUGUUCGGUUAGCUCUCAGUCUCUGACAGGGAACCACAAUGCUAGAAGCCCAGGAGGGCCUGACUGUCCAGUGGGUGGUUUGGCUGUGGGGGCAAUGUGUGGUAGCAGCACCCCCCGGCACCACAUCAUCCGCCCAUCCCCAUCAGACUGCGAGAGCUGGCAGAAGCAUCGCACAGGACUGGCUGGAGGGUCAAAGCUGUAUUCUGAAUCCCACUCCCUCCUGGAGCCCGAAAGCCUCUCAGCCAGCUAUGACACCCUCUACCUCUCACACGUGUCUGGCCACGCUCCUCCUUUACACCCAAACCGUCUCGGUCUCACCCUUGAUGUGGUUUCCACUUUUGAUGUUGGAGUCGGGAUGCUUGGGGUGGAUGGAGAUAUGGCAGUCAGUCCUAAUGUGAUCAAGAGACGGCGGGGCGGACUGAUUGAGCAGAGAGACAUUGUUAAAGCCCACCAAGCUCAUAAGAUUCAGAGCACACCUCAGGCGCGACGCAAGGAGUGGGAGCCUACCAAAAAGCUCUGUGAACAGCUCCAUUUUUAUUCCAUGAGAAUUGACUUCCAGUCCUCAAGUGGCCAUUAGAGGAGCAACACUUUUGGAGCUGCCAUGUUGGCUUUGUUUUUCUCCUCCAGUGAUUGUCGCUUAAGUCAGGUGGAUAUUAUGAUGUUUACUCCUGUGGCAGGGCAUUAACUGGUUGUUUUAAUUUUUGUCUAUUUUUCACACAUUUUACAAAAGCACGAGUGCACCAUUACAGUAUUCAGUGUCAUUGCACAGUUUAAAAGUUGGCCAUGUUUUGACGAUGGCAUUUAGAUGCCCUCUGCCGAGGUCCCAGGAUAUACUCAUGGCUUUUUUUAAAGGGCUUGUGAUUAUAUUCCUUUCAAAAUUAGGCAAUUCUUUCUAGAAGAAGAGAGGUUUAUAGGCCUAAAAACUGGGAGGAUUACGGCAUAAAGUUGGAAAGCACUUGUUUAAGUAUUCAGCCCUUCUAUUCUUAAAUAUAUAAUUUCCAUGGAUGUAAAAUUGCACAUUUGCUAAGGAAUUACAACUGUUAGAUAAAUGUAUUUGAAUAAAAGUACAAAAUUAUACCAUGA